UCCAUCCAGCCAAGCCAGCCAAGCCA
rnacentral:piRNA from 1 species